CAAUACACAGCAUCCGAGGCAGCUGUUCGUCGCGUAUAUCACAUGAAAGGAGAGGCAGUAAAGUCUAUGACAUUGGGGGAGUUGGCUGAGGACCUUAGCGCUGGUGGAGGUAUAUGGAGCGAAUUGCCUGAAUUGGAGAAAGAUUGAUGUGGAAUCAGAAGAGUCAUAUUCCUCACUUCUCACCCA